rnacentral:rRNA from 1 species
AUACGGAGGGUGCAAGCGUUGUUCGGAAUUACUGGGCGUAAAGCGCGCGUAGGCGGCUAAUUAAGUCAAAUGUGAAAUCCCCGAGCUUAACUUGGGAAUUGCAUUCGAUACUGGUUAGCUAGAGUGUGGGAGAGGAUGGUAGAAUUCCAGGUGUAGCGGUGAAAUGCGUAGAGAUCUGGAGGAAUACCGAUGGCGAAGGCAGCCAUCUGGCCUAACACUGACGCUGAGGUGCGAAAGCAUGGGGAGCAAACAGGAUUAGAUACCCCAGUAGUCC